rnacentral:lncRNA from 1 species
GAAAUUUGAGCAAUUAUUUUUAUGGAGGAAAUUUGAGGAAUUAUUUUUAUGGAAUAAAUUAGAGAGUUUUGUGGAGAUAAAUAAUAUUUUGAAGGAAUUUAAUUGGAGAAUAUUUGGAGAAAAGACCAAAACACCCUCCAAUUUGGAGAAAAGACCAAAAUACCCCUUAGUUGCUUUAUUAAAAGCAACUAUCAAUUAUUGAGCAACACUUUGUCCUUCUUCUCCUUUUCCUACACGUCUCCUUCUUCUUCUU